rnacentral:rRNA from 1 species
UGGGGAAUCUUGGACAAUGGGGGCAACCCUGAUCCAGCCAUGCCGCGUGAGUGAUGAAGGCCUUAGGGUCGUAAAGCUCUUUCGCUAGGGAAGAUAAUGACGGUACCUAGUAAAGAAGUCCCGGCUAACUCCGUGCCAGCAGCCGCGGUAAUACGGAGGGGGUUAGCGUUGUUCGGAAUUACUGGGCGUAAAGCGCACGUAGGCGGACCAGAAAGUUGGGGGUGAAAUCCCGGGGGCUCAACCCCGGAACUGCCUCCAAAACUAUUGGUCUAGAGUUCGAGAGAGGUGAGUGGAAUUCCAAGUGUAGAGGUGAAAUUCGUAGAUAUUUGGAGGAACACCAGUGGCGAAGGCGGCUCACUGGCUCGAUACUGACGCUGAGGUGCGAAAGUGUGGGGAGCAAACAGGAUUAGAUACCCUGGUAGUCCACACCGUAAAACGAUGAAUGCCAGUCGUCGGGUAGCAUGCUAUUCGGUGACACACCUAACGGAUUAAGCAUUCCGCCUGGGGAGUACGGUCGCAAGAUUAAAA